UAGAGAAAGAGAGAGGCAGAAAAUGGAUGCAAUGGAUUAUGUGUUUGAUCUGUUUAGAGAAUUUGAAAAAGGCAAUCUGAUAAUUGGGAAACGCUACCACAAAUCCGAUUGUAAAGAUUCAAAUCUUCAGAUAUUUCCUCCAUUUGUACCAUAGCGCAAGAUUUUCGCUGCUUCCGACCCUCUUCGCGCGUUGAUGGGUGUUGAUCCUAGUAUUAGAGUUAAAGUUUGGCCAUUCCUACUUGGAGUUUGGGGCUGGAUUGUAGUGUAUGAUAACUUGUCAAAACAGCUUUGGGAUAUUAUGAAACAGAACUAGAAUGCCACUCAAAUGUGUUGAAAUGGCGAUAGAGCAUGCCCAAAAUUUGCAUUAGGCAUUUCUGUUUGGUGUUAUAAACAUGCAGUGUGUAGUACUUUUAGUGCUAAUACUUUAUUUAAAUCUUAAUGUACAUAUAAAUAUAUUUUCAAUGGUUGCUAUUAGUAAUCCUACAUUGGUUAAGAAAUCUAAGUUCUACAUUGAAUUAAUUCACACAUGAUGUUUGCUGCAUUUUAUACUAUAUUUAAUAAAAAAGAAAACAUAGAAUUUGCUACUUUUUUUUUAUAAUUGUAAACCCAUGAAUCCUUGUUCCCAAUUAAAUUUCUGCAUGAUUUCAAACUAUAUAUUUUGCUGCAGAGUGUCUUGCCGGGCAUUCUUCAAGGGGACAAUUUGGACACUCUCGUGUAUGGCUCUCUUGACAAUGGAAAAAAAAUUGUGUGGAAUGAAGAUUUUCAUUCAAAGUAUUGCAGUUUUUACGUCAAAAAGCUACUUCCAUGAAGCAAGACUACACAAAAAUGACAACUACUACACAGACAGUUUCCGAGUUGAAGGACUUUGUGAAAAAGCUGAACUCAUUGCCAG